rnacentral:rRNA from 1 species
UACGUAUGGAGCAAGCGUUAUCCGGAUUUACUGGGUGUAAAGGGAGCGCAGGCGGCUUUGCAAGUCUGAUGUGAAAGGCCGGGGCUCAACCCCGGGACUGCAUUGGAAACUGUAAAGCUAGAGUGCCGGAGAGGUAAGCGGAAUUCUUAGUGUAGCGGUGAAAUGCGUAGAUAUAAGGAGGAACACCAGUGGCGAAGGCGGCUUACUGGACGGCAACUGACGCUGAGGCUCGAAAGCGUGGGGAGCAAACAGG